CAGGGCAUAGCUAAGCACAGCGCCUCCCUUGCACUGAGGAGUUAUCCGUGCAACUCGGGUUGCCUGA
rnacentral:tRNA from 1 species